UGGCGGACGGGUGAGUAACGCGUGGGUAACCUGCCCUGUACAGGGGGAUAACAGUUAGAAAUGACUGCUAAUACCGCAUAAGACCACAGCACCGCAUGGUGCAGGGGUAAAAACUCCGGUGGUACAGGAUGGACCCGCGUCUGAUUAGCUGGUUGGUGAGGUAACGGCUCACCAAGGCGACGAUCAGUAGCCGGCUUGAGAGAGUGAACGGCCACAUUGGGACUGAGACACGGCCCAAACUCCUACGGGAGGCAGCAUG
rnacentral:rRNA from 1 species